CUGAACUGAACUGAACUGAGGCUGCAGUCCAUGGGAUCACAAAAGAGUCAGACAUCACUUAACGACUAAACAACAACAACAACAAUACUGAAACAUGUCCUAAGACUUUUGGAACUUCUUUCAAGUAGAAUUCACGAAUAAUGACAUAAUUACCAGCUUAUGGACUGAUGCUUCCAGGCAUGAGUGGGAAGAAACACUCUGGUGAUAUCAUUGAGUCCUCAUGUAGUAUCAGUACUUGUCCAUCUGAUUAUCUAAACUGGAUGCAUUUUCACAAAGACUGGAAACCUCAUGAGAAGAUUGAGUGUCAAUGGGAAGAACUGAAUCGAUGACCUGUGAGUCGGGAUUGAAGGUACCAGGGGAAUCCAGGUGCCUGAAGCUACAGAUAGACCCUGGCAGACCUGAAACCUGACUUGAUAAGACUACCAUCCCAUAGCCCCUGGGUUCCUGUCUCCUCUACUCAGGCUGCUUCCAGGUUUCAAUUCCAGUUUCGCAAGAGAAAGACUGGGAGAGAGAGGUUCAAUUUACACUUCAUGUCCACACCUAUCUUCAGAUUCAGAAAUUUGUGUGUGUGCCUGUGUGUGUACGAAGUUGCCACAGACCCAACUCCAUGGAAGCAGUUCUCUAAGAGAAAGAACCUUUGUGAGUUGGGCAUAUAAGAUUCUCUAUUGAAGCACUCCAAACAUCACUUGGGGAUGUUAUGUCAUAUUGCACCACAGCUUUCGGAAAUAACUGGGAGAGAGUUACAAUGUUGGACAAGGAGAAGAGAGGGAAGAAAGGUAUCCAAGCAACGGGUGUGUACAGCAGUUUGAAUUCAAGUACAGAAGUGGAAGCAAGGCACAGCUGGGUAAUAACGACAGAAGCCACUCGUAGGAAGCUCUGAUAAUCCGACUGGUCAAAAAAGCUGUCACCUGCUGCCCCAGUUCUUUCUGGUUGUACAUCUAGUUUAUAA
rnacentral:lncRNA from 1 species